GACGAACGCUGGCGGCGUGCUUAACACAUGCAAGUCGAACGAUGAUCUCCCGCUUGCGGGGGUGAUUAGUGGCGAACGGGUGAGUAAUACGUGAGUAACCUGCCCUUGACUCUGGGAUAAGCCUGGGAAACCGGAUCUAAUACUGGAUACUACUUCCUGCCGCAUGGUGGGGGGUGGAAAGGGUUUUUCUGGUUUUGGAUGGGCGCACGGCCUAUCAGCUUGUUGGUGGAGUAAUGGCUCACCAAGGCGACGACGGGUAGCCGGCCUGAGAGGGUGACCGGCCACACUGGGACUGAGACACGGCCCAGACUCCUACGGGAGGCAGCAGGGGGGAAUAUUGCACAAUGGGCGGAAGCCUGAUGCAGCGACGCCGCGUGAGGGAUGACGGCCUUGGGGUUGUAAACCUCUUUCAGCAGGGAAGAAGCCACAAGUGACGGUACCUGCAGAAGAAGCGCCGGCUAACUACGU
rnacentral:rRNA from 1 species